GUGUUUUGUUUCUAAUGUUUGUAUGUUGUGUGCCUGUGUGUGCGUGUGUUUUAUUUGACCCAUAACUGUAUGAAGUCGCUAAAUCCUAGAGGGGAUGACAGAGACGUCCCUGGUUCAGCCUUUUUUGCCCCAGUCGUUGCAGAAAUGUUGGAAAAGUGAGUACUAUCCUUCUCUUUAAAUUGGCUUUUGAAAGUAUACUUUCUGCAGACUCCUGUCCGUGGUUUAGGUACUUGAUUUGGGUGAAACAGAGCCAGACUUUCCUAUUAACUAGUGCCCCGAGUGCAAUUCCCUGUCGUCAGAGAACAAGAACUAUAAACGGUGCUUGGCAGUUAUAAAUGUCUUGGCUUCUACAAAGGCUAACUUGCCAAAGCAAAUAGCAAGUAACCUAAAGACGCUGAAUAGGAAAGGUCCUCUUCUCGAUGGGAAAAGAGCUUCCCAGAACGUGAGCUCUGUUUUCCCGUAGGGCUCCCUACUUACCCAGCCGUUCAGCGAUUAUCGCAGGCUUUGCCCGGUCCCCUCAGGUCCAAUAUCGCACAAGCGUUGUGCUGCAGACGGUACCGCAGCUUACUCUCCAUCUCGUGCUGCGUUUCUCGUACCCGCAGAAAACUUACUUCAGCAUCAAAUAAACCCCGUGGGAAGCGUACCCGACUCAUGCCUGCAGGACCAUCCCGUUGGGGCUGGUAAAAUCCAUGAACGGGGCGAUGCUUGGAAGAAUGUCACCUAUGGAGAAGGCAACACUCUCCUUCUGGGCAACAGUUUUUGGAGACUGGUUUCCCCACCCCACUGUGCAUUUUGAAGGAGGCAGUCCCUAAGCUGAUGCAAUCCAACUGCAUCUAAGCUGUAGUUCUGUAGCAUCUGUAGCAAAAUAAACUGCCAGAUGAAUAAACGAGCAGGUACAAAUACGCUUGACUCUAUAGCUGAGAUUAAAUAACGUGCAGUUUCUUAUGUGUUUUACCUUUCAAAGCACGUUGUUUCCGAGCGCCUGAGCUUUUUGCUCGUAUUACCGAGGAAGGGAAUGGCUGCGCUUCUUCCCCCCUCAUCCCUCUAUUUUAAUUUCUCCUCUUUUCCCUCGAUGACAGGGAUUCAGAAUGUUUUCCUCAGCUGUCCACGUGAAAAUCUUUAAAAAUACAAGAAAACGCUGAUGGUGAACGCUGACAGAAUGGGGUGACAUUUUCAAGAUAGGAAAAGCUCUUUCCAGCAAGACGGAGAAGGAAUUAAUUAUACCUCUGCCUCAUCCCGUGAGACCAGAAGACACCGAGUAACUAACUGGGAAGAGGGA